GGACUACCGGGGUUUCUAAUCCUGUUCGCUCCCCUAGCUUUCGCGCCUCAGCGUCAGAUGUCAGCCAGGACACUGCCUUCGCCUUUGGUAUUCCUCCGGAUCUCUACGCAUUUCACCACUCCACCCGGAAUUCUAUGUCCCUCUCUGACCCUCAAGUUCCUCAGUUUUCCGCAAGCCUUUCUCGGUUGAGCCGAGAACUGUCACGCGGAACUUAAGAAACCGCCUGCACGCCCUUUACGCCCAGUAAAUCCGGACAACGCUCGCCCCCUACGUAUUACCGCGGCUGCUGGCAC
rnacentral:rRNA from 1 species